rnacentral:rRNA from 1 species
GACGAACGCUGGCGGCGUGCUUAACACAUGCAAGUCGAACGGAAAGGCCCCUUUGGGGGUACUCGAGUGGCGAACGGGUGAGUAACACGUGAGUAACCUGCCCUUGACUUCGGGAUAACUUCAGGAAACUGGGGCUAAUACCGGAUAGGAAUCCUUGCUGCAUGGUGGGGGUUGGAAAGCUUCGGCGGGUUUGGAUGGACUCGCGGCUUAUCAGCUUGUUGGUGGGGUAGUGGCUUACCAAGGCUUUGACGGGUAGCCGGCCUGAGGGGGCGACCGGCCACAUUGGGACUGAGAUGCGGCCCAGACUCCUACGGGAGGCAGCAGUGGGGAAUAUUGCACAAUGGGCGGAGGCCUGAUGCAGCAACGCCGCGUGCGGGAUGACGGCCUUCGGGUUGUAAACCGCUUUCAGCAGGGGCGAAGCUUGUGGUGACGGUACCUGCAGAAGAAGCACCGGCUAACUACGUG